CACCUCCACUGAGCCGUGGCCACCACUCCAGCACUGACAGCUCUUGCUGAAGGAAUCUGUCUGCCUUCCUCCAUUCUGGGCUGGUCCUUCCCGCUCCUGCUGGGCACCAGGUCCAGUGGCAGCUCACUGAAGCUCAGGGCACCUCUGAGGCUGCUUGGCAUCCAGGGACAGGCCUGGGACUACCUGAGUCACCUCCUGCUAAAACCCUCACAAUGGCCACCAGCAACAGGGUCCCAGGCUGGGCCUCUGCCACCCACCCCCUUCAGGUGUUGAUCCAACGCUGCCACCACCCCCAGCGCCCCAAGGAAUUCCCACUUGGAUUCCAAAUGACCCACAACCCUAGACUUCCCUGGUACCUUGGAGCCUGCUUGUCAUUCUUGCUGUAGCCCCAAGGGGACCCCAGUGGCUCACUGUUUCCUACCAGCCCCCCCACGGGGACCUGCUCCUCCCCCAGCCUCUGUGAGUCCUCACCUUCUUCCCCAAAGCCCUCUUGGUCCCUCAUCUCUUUUCCUUGAUGCCCUCCUCAGGGGACCAUGUCCUGCUUUGUGCCUGUGUCACUAGUGACCCGGGACUGUCCCACUCUGUUUCAUUCAGCAGAGCCUCAGCACACAGCAGGAGCAUACUCAGUGUUUGCUAACUUGAGUUAAACACCGGGCUUACUUUAGGUUCAGUGCUUUCCAGUAGGGCCUUAGUGUCUUUCAGAUCAUGUGUAUU